UACGAAGGGGGCUAGCGUUGCUCGGAAUCACUGGGCGUAAAGCGCACGUAGGCGGAUUGUUAAUUCAGGGGUGAAAUCCUGGAGCUCAACUCCAGAACUGCCUUUGAUACUGGCGAUCUCGAGUCCGGGAGAGGUGAGUGGAACUGCGAGUGUAGAGGUGAAAUUCGUAGAUAUUCGCAAGAACACCAGUGGCGAAGGCGGCUCACUGGACCGGUACUGACGCUGAGGUGCGAAAGCGUGGGGAGCAAACAGG
rnacentral:rRNA from 1 species